UAUGGGAGAGGCGGGAAUGACU
rnacentral:miRNA from 1 species